AACCCUUACAGCACAACAGAAAGGGGUCUCCCUUUAUCUGUUUAUCUGUCUACGGUUCGAUCCCCUUUUGCUCACCGGACUUGGCACUGGUGCCCGCUCUGCUACAAGAUGGUGUUGGGAGACGGCCAUUGUUGUGCUCUCCAUUCCGUAAUCCAUCAAUUCAGUGUCAGUUGCGAGGGUCAUUUAUGUCAUCGUUUUGAUCCUUCUUUUGUGGUUUAGUUUCUGUCAUCGUUUUCGAAGAUACAGAAGACCUCGCAAUAACAGAAGCUACUGAAAGGGCAAUGAAAGCCCUGGAAAUUACUUGGAGGAUGAGUGUGAGUGAGAAAUGAUGAUAUUGGCAGUGGUAGAUGAGAAUCGAUGUGAACUUUAAACGAGUAGAAUGGUAAAGCCCUGUCAGCUUUUGAGGUCUUUUGACUGAAAGGAGAAGAACAGUUUAAAAAAAGUAGAUCAACGGAGGCAAGCAGAAAGGUGGCAGCAGAAAACAGAUUGAUAAAAGAAACUGAAGAAUUAGGCCUAUGCUUAAGAGUAUGGCCCAAAAUAUUUAUUAUUGUUUAGUCUAUAAAGCCAGUUCAAAACCUUUUUAAUUCAUUAUUAUUAGUAAUGGAUCAAAGUUAC